CUCGUGUCGUGAGAUGUUGGGUUAAGUCCCGCAACGAGCGCAACCCCUGUCGUGUGUUGCCAGCAUUAAGUUGGGGACUCACGCGAGACUGCCGGUGACAAACCGGAGGAAGGUGGGGAUGACGUCAAGUCAUCAUGGCUCUUACGUCCAGGGCUAGAAACGUGCUACAAUGGCGUACACAAAGGGCAGCAAGACCGCAAGGUGGAGCGAAUCUCAUCAAAGUACGUCUAAGUUCGGAUCGGGGUCUGCAAUUCGACCCCGUGAAGCUGGAGUUGCUAGUAAUCGCGGAUCAGAAUGCCGCGGUGAUGCGUUCCCGGGCNUUGCACACACCGCCCGU
rnacentral:rRNA from 1 species